CCUACAACGGUUGACACUAGCAUGGGCGCAGUUGCUGAUGGCCUGACUCAGGUCAGGCAGGGUCAGUAGACCAGUUCAGAGACUGGACUUGUGAGCGUUCGUGUCACUUGACACUAGGAAAGAAAGAAAAAGAUUUCCGGAAAUGUGUAUCAUACAGUGCACUGUGAUACAUGAGAUUGGUAAUAUUGCAUUGAGUUCAAACAAUGAAAAGUGUUCCAUCUUUAAUGUGAAAAGAGUUCCAGAAAUGUAUAUCAUACAGUGCACUGUGAUACAUGAGAUUGGUAAUAUUGCAUUGAGUUCCAACAUUGAGAAGUGUUUCAUCUUUAAUGUGAAAAGAGUUCCAGAAAUGUCUAUCAUACCGUGUCGGAAUGUAUUGGUUGGUUUUACAUUGAGUUCCAGAAGGCCAUACACAUUUUCCUAGUUUGGUAAUAGAAUUAACAGAAUAGUGCUUUAAUAAUCCUUAAGUGAUGUUCCUAGCCAAUGUUGAUAAUUUCAGUGUUAAGGUCGUAAGAAUCUCAAGGGGGAGAUGUAAUAGAAUUGUAUGAUCACGUGUAAAUUACGUACCCGGAUAUACGGGGCACGCAUGCGCGGACGCGGACCGAAAGUAAAGACGUUGAUUUAACUUGGACCGAUGUGUGGACGUCUUUUAUUAUAAGUAACCGAAUACUUUACAAUAGGCGGAGGCAAAUUACACUUAACACCCAAGUCUAGUAAUUGUUUAAUUCAACACCACGAAGUAUGAUGAAGACAGUAAGAAUACUGCAAACUUUAGCAGGCUACUUGGCUAACUCAACAGGCUGACGGGGAUAUCGGCCUUGCUAUAAAAUGCCAUUGUGAGCCAGCUGUAGCUUCUGUAACUUGAUGUCACAUUUAACCUUUCAUUCAGAGUAGAUUAUAAUUUAAUGGGCUUUUACAGUUUUAAGAUUGCAUUAAUUUCGCUUGCCUUUGGAUGUGCAAUGACAACCUGCUAAUAUCGACGAAAUCGGGCGGGAAUCAACAAAGAUGUCGCGUGCAGUCCCAACAUUGCAUUUAUCUGUUAACUAUAAUGCUGUUGCACAAGCUUGCAAUGGUAGUGCUAGCACUACAAGGCGCGAAAAAUCUACUUUGUCUAAACAAAGGAUAGCUUCAUACCGUAGCUUUCCGUUCCUCGCCUUGUCUUCUUUUACUCGUCAAGCAGGGUGUUCUGCCAAUUUCUGCUACCCAUCAUAUUGUGCUACCUACUUUGUUCCGCGCAUGCGCAUGAUUACGCUAUUUAUCCGUGGUUUGGUAUAAAAUACACAUACUGUACCCCUGAAAUCUCCAAUAAAGGUGUUAUAAUAAUACAGUAUCAAAUUAUGCUCUGCAUAUUCUUACCGUGUACAUGGAGUGAGUAGUGGUGUACAACAACGUGAUUCUGUAGUGGGAGCAUCGUUUGAUAGAGGCAGUUGGACUAUAGAUUAAAUACGCUUCCUGACACAUAAGAAUAUGGGGAGCAUAAUUUGAUGCUGUAUUAAAACUUCUUUAUUGGAGAUUUCAGGGGUACAAUGGAUUUUACAAUUUUACACGUCAUCAUGCGCCUGCGCAGAACCAUUAGGUACUGAAUCUGAUAGGUAGCAUUUAGCACUGGUGUUGUACCAAACUGCAAGAAUUUCAAAAGCAUUUGGUUAGCUAUGUGUCUCUCUGUCUGCAGACUAAAUGCCACCAAUGGUAAUCUUAACUUACCUUAUUGAGGAUUUCAAGCGAAAACGACCACGUAUCACUGUGGUCUGGGUCUCAACCGUGAAGUGUUCGCGGGAAUGGGAGGAAAUGAGCCUAGCAGCCCCAUCGUAGAUUACACGGGAGGCUGCUGUGAAUCAAGAGGCGAGAUCUAAAUCAACUGCUGUAGUUCAAAUGACUCUGUACUCAAUUGGAUAGUCCUUCAACCAAUCAGACCAACGAUCAAAAAGCUGCUUGCCGUCGCUUCCCUGUCCUUAUUGGGUUAAACCAGCCAAUAGCGCGCCAGGGGGUGAUUGGCUCCAGUAAAACUGCAUCGAAAACAGAAAGAAAUGUAAUGCUCCACUCAAAUACAAAUCCCCCCCACCCGCUUAUCUACCCACUUAUUUAUUUAUCUAAGAUCACAGAAAAUACAUAAAAGCUAGAAAUAUGAACGAGUACGCGAUUGACGCUUGUGUGACGUCAUGUUCUAAAAAAUGAAACAAAAAUCGACCAGUGAUCUUGACAUCACUUGUUGUCAGUCAAGUUUAAAGAAAUCCACCAAUCACUAUAAUAGGCUAAUAAUAGUAACACCUGGCCCAAUGUUUUCUAGGACCUUUCAGUUUUGAUUUAAGAUGAAUUUACACAUUCCCAUCUUCUUUACCUGCACAAAACCUAGGCCUAGUCCUGUACUGUUUCACACACUGCAUGUAUCAUGAACUGUACCGUUUAAAACAAUUACAUUCAUUUCCUAUACAUUUCUUUUUGCAUCAUAGAUCAUUCCCUCCAGUCCCUGUUGACCUCAUUCUUGUCAGAAUGUAUAGUAUAGUGGAGUUUUUGGGGGAAAAGACAGUUGGUAUAGUGGCCAGUAAUUGGAUCACAAAAGAGGGAGAUAAGACAUGCAGCUACUGGCCACUCCACAAGACAACACAGAGGGCAAAGGCAAAAGAUCUGCACGAUCCUAAAACCUGGCCAAAUAGGCCAAUAAAAAUCUUUUCUUCAACAGAUGAUUGGGAUCAGGCCGUCAGGAUGAACAAGAGGGCGGAGACAAAGUCCUCUGUGGAGACAGGAAAGGAGGACAAAGGGAGGCGCAUCAUUGUCAAACCCCAAAAAUGUAUUCACAACGGUGAAAAGAAAACACAAAGAAAUUAAACACAGAAAGAAACCAAAUGCAAAAAAGGCAGAACAAGGUCCACAUUUCAGGACUUUUCUUCCCCCUCUACCCCAGACAGAAACCCCAAUUCCACGGCCUAGCCCACAACAACAAUCUUCACCCCCUUUGACUGAUGACGGUAAAGUUUUGCAAGGGAAUAAUGGUUAAAAACAACUACCAAUAAUUGUAUAGAAGUCAAGAAGACACUAUGGUUCGAAACAAAAACACGUAACCUAAAUUCUUAUCUUGUUCUUUCUGUAUUUACUCUUUCUCUUAUUACUCCCUUCCUUCUUCACCGGCAAGACAAGUUUUUACAGAAAAUUAUGGUAAAGUUAUGUAUGGUGAUGAUGACGAAUGAUGAUGAGUCGACAUAACAGUUAUUCUAUGAGCCAAGACAACAAAGAGUUUGGAACCAAAAAGAUGACAUUGAAUUAUUGUUUUGUGCUUUCUGCAGAUGAUUCGAUCCCAUCAUCAAUUGAAACGUCAUUGCCUAUCUCUACUAGUGACGGUAAAGUGGCAGGUGGAGAGGGUGGUUAAAAGCAGCGACAUUGGAGGUUCUGCUCCGAAAGCUUGAGACAGUUGAACAGAAUCAAAGAGAGGCUCUGAUUCUGCUACGGGCAAAUCGACGUGGGGACCCUGGGGAAGCUAGUGUCGAGUUACUGCAGGCGCAAACUCAGGCCGACCUGCAGGAUCUCAAGGAGCGCCUUAAAAAUAGGGAUUUCACCAAAAAAAUGAUUUCCCAUCUGAGCCUAGUUGGGGGGUCCAAUCCUGGGGAGUGUGUGAGGAGGGUGUUGCGCUCUGUGGCCUCAAACUUUGUUUGGAGCAGCUACAGCCUUAGGGGAAAGAAGGGGAAGAUGCCACUGCUUAGCACAGCAGUGGGCAGUACCAUCAAACAGGCAAUCAUGAAAUGGAAGCCGGGUCUGGAAGAGAAGGAGGUGGAGCUUCUGAUGGCAGAGGUCUUGAAACAUGCCCCCUCAGCCCACUCCAAGUUUGAAGGGUCGGAUGGAACGGCAGUUGGAAGAAGUGUUUUAAAUAAAUAAAAAUAGAAUCCAUUUAUAUUUGCAAGUGUA